rnacentral:rRNA from 1 species
GACGAACGCUGGCGGCGUGCCUAAUACAUGCAAGUCGAACGAAGCUUUUUUAACUGGUGCUUGCACCGACUUAAACAACUGAGUGGCGAACGGGUGAGUAACACGUGGGUAACCUGCCCCAAAGCGGGGGAUAACAUUUGGAAACAGAUGCUAGUACCGCAUAACCACAGAAACCACAUGGUUUCUGUGUCAAAGAUGGUUUCGGCUAUCACUUUGGGAUGGACCCGGGGCGUAUUAGCUAGUUGGUAAGGUAACGGCUUACCAAGGCAAUGAGACGUAGCCGAAUUGAGAGGUUGCUAGGCCAAAAUGGGACUGAGAAACGGCCCAUACUCCUACGGGAGGCAGCAGUAGGGAAUCUUCCACAAUGGGCGCAAGUCUGAUGGAGCAACACCGCGUGAGUGAAGAAGGGUUUCGGCUCGUAAAACUCUGUUGUUAAAGAAGAACGUAUCUAAGAGUAACUGCUUAGGUAGUGACGGUAUUUAACCAGAAAGCCACGGCUAACUACGUGCCAGCAGCCGCCGUAA